rnacentral:rRNA from 1 species
CCUACGGGCGGCAGCAGUGGGGAAUAUUGCGCAAUGGGCGAAAGCCUGACGCAGCGACGCCGCGUGAGGGAUGAAGGUCUUCGGAUCGUAAACCUCUGUCAGCAGGGAAGAACGGUCACUGUGCUAAUCAGCAGUGAAUUGACGGUACCUGCAAAGGAAGCACCGGCUAACUCCGUGCCAGCAGCCGCGGUAAUACGGGGGGUGCGAGCGUUAAUGGGAAUUACUGGGCGUAAAGCGCUCGUAGGCGGUAUGUCAAGUCAAGGGUGAAAUCCCCGCGCUCAACGUGGGAACUGCCUUUGAAACUGGCAAACUGGAGUGUGUGAGAGGAUAGGGGAAUUCCAGGUGUAGGAGUGAAAGCCGUAGAUAUCUGGAGGAACAUCAGUGGCGAAGGCGACUAUCUGGCACAUAACUGACGCUGAGGAGCGAAAGCGUGGGUAGCAAACAGGAUUAGAUACCCUUGUAGU